rnacentral:rRNA from 1 species
UACGAAGGGAGCUAGCGUUGUUCGGAAUCACUGGGCGUAAAGCGCACGUAGGCGGAUUUGUUAGUCAGGGGUGAAAUCCCGGGGCUCAACCUCGGAACUGCCUUUGAUACUGCAAGUCUCGAGUCCGAUAGAGGUGAGUGGAAUUCCUAGUGUAGAGGUGAAAUUCGUAGAUAUUAGGAAGAACACCAGUGGCGAAGGCGGCUCACUGGAUCGGUACUGACGCUGAGGUGCGAAAGCGUGGGGAGCAAACGGG